UGCUGUACACAACUCAUGCCCAUUUGCUGCUCCCUCUCUCUCUCUCCGUAAACCCUUAAACCCACCAUAAAUCACUACAACCUUUUCAUCUCUUGCCAACUGCACAACCUCUGCGCCUUUUCAUAUUUCAGGUUGAUCAGGAUGUGUGAUAGUGGAGUUAUAAGGGCAUGGGAAGAGUGUGUUGUGGUGCCAGAAAGGGGAAGUCGCAUUGUUCAUUAUAACCUCAAAGAUAACAUUGGGAAUUCUGUUGUUGCUGUGGUUGGGAGGGAGAGGUGCAUCAAUCACAUGGUCUAUACAGUUUCAGAGGACUACUUGCGAGUCUUUGGGUCCGCGGGCGGUGUUUAUGCGGGGAAGAAGUGGCAAGCAAGACGAGAGGUUGUUGAUUGGCUCAUCACGGUUGUGGCAAGAGGUGGACCAAUCAUGGCUAGCUCAAUCUCCCGCCGAAGCUGCAAUUCACGAGCUACAGAUGAAAAAGUCAAACGUCCCAAUCCUGAAAAGUAUCCACUGCAAACUUCCAAGAGAGUGAAAAGAUGCAGGCUGAGUGAGAUCCUCCACAGCAACUGCACUAGCAAGACAGAUUUAACUUCAGACAAUCGUGCAGUUAAAUGGGAACCGACAUGUAACAGAGUGAGAAUCAAUCUUCCAAUGAAGAUACCGGUUAUUGCUCUUCCUGCACCUGAGCCACCAUGUAAAGUAUUUCCCAAGUUCAACAAAAAUAUCGAGCUUCUUAGUCAGGACAGCGGCAUGCGAGGCUGCUGGUUCAGGUGCAGGAUCUUGCUUUCAUCAAAAAGCCGUCUGAAGGUUCAAUACAAGGAUGUUUUGCAAGCCGAUGGAGUUCAAAAACUGGAGUUCUGUUUACAUAUCCUCUUUGCAUAAAAAUAUAGGAAUGGGUUACAGAAUCACGAGUGGCAGAUCCUGAUAAACUAGGCAUCAGAUGUUUAGGCCGUCUUACAAUCAGGCCUCAGCCAUGUAUGGAUUCUUCAGUCACUACAUUUGUGGUCGGAGCUGCAGUUGGUGUGGUGGUGCAACAGCUGGUGGGAAGGCGUUGUAAUUGGAUAUGAGACACCGACGAAUACUAAUCUUCAAGUUUACUUCCCUGGUGAGAACAGAUUCUCAACUGCUGCGAGGAAGCAUGUGAGAGUUUCAAGAGAUUGGAUUGACAGCAAAUGGGUGAACAUAAAGGGAAAACAUGAUAUACUAUCUUUCUUAUCUUCGAUAUUUAGCCCCGGCCCAAACCUUACACCACAAGCUGCAUUCGUUGAGGCUAAUAGCUCUGCAGCAAACAGCGUGGUUGCCACCCAUUGGAAACAUGAAGGUGACAAGUGGAAGAUACCGAGUUCAACUGCUGGCGAGACGCCUAAUUUCAAGAAACGACUUAUAAACAGAUAUAAUGAAGAGGUGAUGAAGUCUGGCAGGCUCUAACAGUGAUAUAUGACCAGCAACUUUUGGCUCUGUGAAUUUGUAGAUAUGAAUACUUAGAGAAAAUAGAUCAUGAUGGAUUGUGCACAUUUUGGUUGCAUUCUCUGCAAAUGUAUACAUCUUUUGGCCUCAUAGUGUAUACGUUGAUGUAUGUAACUAGUCAUUUUACCA